UGGCCUUGCAAAGAAAGACAUCACAAAAUCAUAAUCUUACUCAAGGACCGAUAAGACAGAGCAUCUUAUUUCUGAGGUGGGACAUCUACUCAACGGGAUCAUGUGGUGGAUAAGAGUUGCUGUUUUGUUUUUUAUGAUAAGCCUGGCGCAGGCUAAAAAAGAAUGCCUUCAUCAUCAUGACUGGAACGAUCUCCUGGAACUCAUAAACCACUGGAGCAUCUCCCAUGAUUGUGUGAAACACUUUGAUAAGGCCAAACUCUGUGAUCCUGAACUGAUGCUCAGUCAGAUGGAAUAUAAAGACGUCAUUCUGGAAGACAUCUUGGAACACGUGGAGACCAUGUACCAGAAGAGCCAAC